rnacentral:rRNA from 1 species
CAAUACACUUGUAAAGCGGCGAACGGGUGACGAAUACAUGGGUGACCUACCAUCGAGUGGGGAAUAACCAGCCGAAAGGCUGGCUAAUACCGCGUACGCUUCCGGAUUUUCGAGUUCGGAAGGAAAGCGAUACCGUGGGUAUCGCGCUCUUUGAUGGGCUCAUGUCCUAUCAGCUUGUUGGUAGGGUAACGGCCUACCAAGGCUUUGACGGGUAGCUGGUCUGAGAGGACGAUCAGCCACACUGGCACUGCGACACGGGCCAGACUCCUACGGGAGGCAGCAGUAAGGAAUAUUGCGCAAUGGGCGAAAGCCUGACGCAGCGACGCCGCGUGGGGGAUGAAGGUCUUCGGAUUGUAAACCCCUUUCGGGAGGGAAGAUGGGACGGGCAACCGUUCGGACGGUACCUCCAGAAGCAGCCACGGCCAACUUCGUGCCAGCAGCCGCGGUAAUACGAAGGUGGCAAGCGUUGUUCGGAUUCACUGGGCGUACAGGGUGUGUAGGCGGUUCGGUAAGCCUUUUGUGAAAGCUUCGGGCCUAACCCGGAAAGCGCAGAGGGGACUGCCAGGCUAGAGGACGGGAGAGGAGCGCGGAAUUCCCGGUGUAGCGGUGAAAUGCGUAGAGAUCGGGAGGAAGGCCGGUGGCGAAGGCGGCGCUCUGGAACGUAUCUGACGCUGAGACACGAAAGCGUGGGGAGCAAACAGGAUUAGAUACCCUGGUAGUCCACGCCCUAAACUAUGGACACUAAGUGUCGGCGGGUUACCGCCGGUGCCGCAGCUAACGCAUUAAGUGUCCCGCCUGGGAAGUACGGCCGCAAGGUUGAA